CCACUACCAACCCCAAAGUUCUCUCUCAUCUCAAAUAGCAACAUCAUCAAACAUACCUGUGUCCAAGCAAGAUAUAUUCCCUGGGUUUCUAUGUCUUGAAACCUAGAAUGCCCUUAAAUAGCUGCUCGCGACUACUAGCAACCAUCUUCUAAGACUUGGCUCUCAUUCUACCUUUUCAGCAAGCCCUUCCUGUGACCAUGUUCUUUGAGUGGGUUUUAAGCAUCCAGUCCUCGCCCAAGUCAUUCCAGAAAAUGAAGUCAACAUUAUCAUGGGAGAAGGUCAAGAUCCCAAGAAGUCUCCAGCAGCUGGAAUUCCCCAGGCACCUCUGACUUGGCAUCUCUACCGUGUCUCAGGGUCCUCACACAACUUCCCUACUGCCACUCAGCAAAGUCCAGGAUACAGAGCAUACCUGUGAGUUGGUCCAGGCACCUGGACAUUCCUACCUACUUUGGCACCUUCCUGCAUGUAAGAUACUCUGCUUCUAACUAUGAGUUCACCUUUAGAGCUUAUCCACUCCUUGCUUUCCAAACACAAGUUAUCUCUGUAUUUCUGUGUCCAUCCACAGAUACCCUAAGACAGUGGAGACAUCAUGCAGAACUUUGCAAACCUUAGUCUCUCUCCUUUCUCUAGCCAUGUCAUUAGAAAAA
rnacentral:lncRNA from 1 species